rnacentral:rRNA from 1 species
GACGUAGGAGGCGAGCGUUGUCCGGAUUCAUUGGGCGUAAAGCGUCCGCAGGUGGCAGUUCAAGUCUGCUGACAAGGACCGGGGCUUAACUUCGGAAAGGCAGUGGAAACUGAACAGCUAGAGUAUGGUAGGGGCAGAGGGAAUUCCUGGUGUAGCGGUGAAAUGCGUAGAGAUCAGGAAGAACAUCGGUGGCGAAGGCGCUCUGCUGGACCAUAACUGACACUCAGGGACGAAAGCGUGGGGAGCGAACAGG